AUCGAUAGCUCCAUACAGACGAGAGUUACAACCCGACCGACGGCUUUCGCUCCUCCGCACACAGAAGCGGGGCAGAAGCGGGGCCGAUUCCCCGCGCGCAGCUCCACGCCCCGCCCGGCGCAGCGCUGCAGAGCGGUGCCCACGCACCGACAGCUGCGGCACCCGCGUGUGGGCAGCGCCGAGCCGAGACGCGCGGCACGGGGCCGGGCGCAGGGACACCUCCGGAGCCUGACUCAGCGUCACGCACGCGGAACGGAGCCGAGUUCUCUCAACUCCCACAGCCCAGAAAGAAAACGCUUGCGGAAGGCCGUGCCCUGGGGGGGGGAGCGCGAAACACUUGGCCGAUGGGGAAAGGCAGCCCCGCCGCAGCCCGCGGCCGGUUCGGUUCUUUCUGCCGGCACGACGGAGGCCGACAGAGUAGCUUCCCACGCGCGGACGCAGAGAACCGGCACGGCCGGAGGGCACAGAGCCGCGGGCUGCGCGCCUCGAAGCGAAAGGCGAAGCGCAGGCGGCACAGCCCGCACACAGCCCGCAGAGCACGAAGCCAGGCGCGCAGGGCACAAAGGCUCGUUGAGAGCCGCCGAGCCGCGACGCCGGCCGGCACUCGAGGACUCUCCAAGCGUCCGCUCGUCGGAAACAAAAGACAGCAACAGAUGCUCGCGGCGCUCCCUCACGAAGCGAGCCCUUAUCGCUCCCGCACGCAGCCGCCACAUGGCCGCGGAGCCCAUGAAUAAUGCAGCGGGAGCUCCCGCAGAACGCCCACGACUCGCUCGGAGGGGGCGGCGGGACGGAGCGCUCAGCGCCCGCAGCACCCGGCCCGCCGCCCGACCCGACCCGACCCGGCCCGCCGCCCCCGCCGAGCUCACCUGGGGCUGCGCUCCCCCCGCGGCGUCGGGGAGGGGACGAGGCGCGGAAAGGCGACCGAGAGAACCGAGGCGGGCGUUUCCCUUCCCCGCCCCGCCGCGCAGCUCCCCCCUGGCAGCGGGGCAGGAGGCGCUGCGGGGCCGCCCCGCGCUGCUCGCGGCGCCGCCGGGGACGAGGCGCCGAGCGCGGCGGCCGCUGACAGCUCCGCAAUAUGGCGGCGGCGGCGGCGCCGUUCAGAUUUUCCCCCCUAUCGGAUUUUGCGGCUCGGGACGCGGCGCGCGUGCGCGGAGGGGAACGCGCGUGCGCGCUGGGCGGCGCGAAGCCGCUGCCCGGAGCCCCGGGCGGAGGGGCGCGGGGUUUCGGCGGCGCGGAGGGAGCUGCGCGCCGUGCUGCGGCUCCGAGGGCGGGGUGUCCCGCCGCCUCGGGGCCGGGUGGGGGGGAUGCGCUUUGCGAGGGGGGUCGGAAGGCGUCCGGGAAUAA
rnacentral:lncRNA from 1 species